rnacentral:siRNA from 1 species
AACGAAUUGGGUGUCGAUCGACA